rnacentral:rRNA from 1 species
GCUGAUGCGUUGUUGGGUAGGGGAGCGUUCUGUAAGCCUGUGAAGGUGGCCUGUGAGGGUUGCUGGAGGUAUCAGAAGUGCGAAUGCUGACAUAAGUAACGAUAAAGCGGGUGAAAAGCCCGCUCGCCGGAAGACCAAGGGUUCCUGUCCAACGUUAAUCGGGGCAGGGUGAGUCGACCCCUAAGGCGAGGCCGAAAGGCGUAGUCGAUGGGAAACGGGUUAAUAUUCCCGUACUUGGUGUUACUGCGAAGGGGGGACGGAGAAGGCUAUGUUGGCCGGGCGACGGUUGUCCCGGUUUAAGCGUGUAGGUGUGUGUUCCAGGUAAAUCCGGUUCACUUUAACACUGAGGCGUGACGACGAGGCACUACGGUGCUGAAGCAACAAAUGCCCUGCUUCCAGGAAAAGCCUCUAAGCAUCAGGUAACAUCAAAUCGUACCCCAAACCGACACAGGUGGUCAGGUAGAGAAUACCAAGGCGCUUGAGAGAACUCGGGUGAAGGAACUAGGCAAAAUGGUGCCGUAACUUCGGGAGAAGGCACGCUGAUAUGUAGGUGAAGCGGUUUACCCGUGGAGCUGAAAUCAGUCGAAGAUACCAGCUGGCUGCAACUGUUUAUUAAAAACACAGCACUGUGCAAACACGAAAGUGGACGUAUACGGUGUGACGCCUGCCCGGUGCCGGAAGGUUAAUUGAUGGGGUCAGCGCAAGCGAAGCUCCUGAUCGAAGCCCCGGUAAACGGCGGCCGUAACUAUAACGGUCCUAAGGUAGCGAAAUUCCUUGUCGGGUAAGUUCCGACCUGCACGAAUGGCGUAAUGAUGGCCAGGCUGUCUCCACCCGAGACUCAGUGAAAUUGAACUCGCUGUGAAGAUGCAGUGUACCCGCGGCAAGACGGAAAGACCCCGUGAACCUUUACUAUAGCUUGACACUGAACAUUGAGCCUUGAUGUGUAGGAUAGGUGGGAGGCUUUGAAGCGUGGACGCCAGUCUGCGUGGAGCCGACCUUGAAAUACCACCCUUUAAUGUUUGAUGUUCUAACGUGGACCCGUAAUCCGGGUUGCGGACAGUGUCUGGUGGGUAGUUUGACUGGGGCGGUCUCCUCCUAAAGAGUAACGGAGGAGCACGAAGGUUGGCUAAUCCUGGUCGGACAUCAGGAGGUUAGUGCAAUGGCAUAAGCCAGCUUGACUGCGAGCGUGACGGCGCGAGCAGGUGCGAAAGCAGGUCAUAGUGAUCCGGUGGUUCUGAAUGGAAGGGCCAUCGCUCAACGGAUAAAAGGUACUCCGGGGAUAACAGGCUGAUACCGCCCAAGAGUUCAUAUCGACGGCGGUGUUUGGCACCUCGAUGUCGGCUCAUCACAUCCUGGGGCUGAAGUAGGUCCCAAGGGUAUGGCUGUUCGCCAUUUAAAGUGGUACGCGAGCUGGGUUUAGAACGUCGUGAGACAGUUCGGUCCCUAUCUGCCGUGGGCGCUGGAGAACUGAGGGGGGCUGCUCCUAGUACGAGAGGACCGGAGUGGACGCAUCACUGGUGUUCGGGUUGUCAUGCCAAUGGCACUGCCCGGUAGCUAAAUGCGGAAGAGAUAAGUGCUGAAAGCAUCUAAGCACGAAACUUGCCCCGA